rnacentral:rRNA from 1 species
GCCGAACCAUCCAAACGUUAUUCGGAAUUACUGGGCUUAAAGGGUGCGUAGGCUGCGCAGAAAGUUGGGUGUGAAAUCCCUCGGCUUAACCGAGGAACUGCGCCCAAAACUACUGUGCUUGAGGGAGACAGAGGUGAGCGGAACUUAGGGUGGAGCGGUGAAAUGCGUUGAUAUCCUAAGGAACACCCGUGGCGAAAGCGGCUCACUGGGUCUCUUCUGACGCUGAUGCACGAAAGCUAGGGGAGCGAACGGG